rfam:Gossypium hirsutum cultivar TM-1 chromosome 16, whole genome shotgun sequence
UGUCAAAAUUUUAUUUAUUUGACUGUUAAAAACUGGCAUGGUUGACAAAAUAAUUAGAUUGAUAUGUGACGUGCCACAUGCGUCUCAUGCUGAAUUGGGAUAAAUUUUUAACAAUAAAAAUUGAUGAAAUUUUUAACA